CUCACGGGCUUCUCUCCGCCCCAUUCCCUCUCGGCCACGCCCACCACGGCCCACUGGCCAGGGAGCCGCUACGCAGAUGUUUUCGCCUCUGCGGGUGUAGGCUCCGGGUCGGGCUUCCGGGUCCCUUUCCUGGCUCUGGCGCCUUCCAGCUGUGUGACCGGGCGAGGCCCUGAGCCUCUUGAGGGUUCAGUGCCCUCCUCCGUACAAUGGGCCAACAACAGCCCCUUCCCUGGGGAUCUCGGUGAGGGUUGGUUGCUCUGCAGGGUGCCCUGGGCCUGUGCCAGCGCGCUCAGGCAUCCUGGUGACCAACCACAGCUGGCACUGGUGAACGCAGCCUCUUAGCCCAGGCAGGCUCUGGUCAGCCUCACCUGCUGGGACCGCUGAGUGGUCCAAGAGCUGGCUUGGCUGACUGGGACCUGGGCCUCAGCUUCCCCAUCUGUGCAGGGGGCCGCUGGUGAUACCGGUCCCUGCCAUGCCCUGGUGGAGAUAUGGCCCAGUGAGACUUCGUGAGGGGUCUAGGCCACUGCUGUCACGUGGUACGUCUUCUACCCUGGCCCCUAGGUGGCCCUGGCCUCAGCCUUGCUCUAAAGAGGAAUGAAGCCCAGCCCACAGCCCCUUAGCACAGAUACGCUCGGGAGACGGGACCCUCACCGUUACUCAUCUCCUUACUGUUCCCUGGACACCUUGGGGUCCCUGCGCCUCUCCACCCGUCCCUGCCAGGUCCUCCUGCUCCACCACAGGCCAUCUCCCUGGGCCUCAUCCAGACAGCUGGACACUGAGCACAGCUCUGUUGUCCUCUUCCCUGGGCUGAGUGGACUCAGAGGUGCUGGGGACUGCAUGGCCGCCGGACGAGGCGGGGGCUUUCCAACCCAACACCACCGAGCCUGCCUCUUCCUGCCCUGGAUGCUAUGUCUUCCAUAGAGCCGCUUUUCCAACACAGCAGGUAUGAAGUAUCCACCGGCCAUCUGAAAAUAAUGCAGUAACUAAGAAAAACAGUGGCGAGAGGAAGGAGUGUCGAUGCCCCAAAUGGAUCAUCUUCCAGAGCACGUCUACACCGAGAUCAAGAAUGAAAAGGAAUUGGGAUCCUGACACAUCCACCAAAGAGCCUUUGAGUACUUCGAAAUCACUUGGAACAGGUUCCUGCAAAGCAAACCCUUCUGGGCUUGAGGAGGAAAUGGACCCGGAACAUUCAGCCCAUCUGAGCACAAACUUUCUGUUGACCUGAGAGGCUGAGGCCUUCCUGUUCCCCACUCAGACCCAGGAGGCAGCCUGCCCAGGGGGAGCCGGGGCAUGGCCUACGAGCUCCUGGAGUCAGGCAGCUCCUGAGGGGCCGGAUGGUCUUGGGCUGGCCAAGCCAGCCUCUGUCGUCCUGUGGAUGGUGGGGCCUUGUGUACGCAUAGCCUCUGCACAGGGGCACACUGUGGGUGUUUGGACGGACAGUGUCUCAAAAACCCAAUUCAGGGCUUGACAGCAGAUUUGUCCUCCACUCCAUGUGCAUAUGAGCAAGGAGAGUUAAUGCAAAGCUUUCUUCAUAGCAGAAGGUUGAAAACAAUGUACCUUUCUAUCAGCAGAGCAGGCAAGGGGGAUACUGUGUGUUUCCCACUGCUGCUGGGACAAAUUAUAACAAAUGUAGCAGCGUAAACCAACGUCCAUUUUUCAUCUCAUGCUCUGGAGGUCAGAGGUUCU
rnacentral:lncRNA from 1 species